rnacentral:rRNA from 1 species
UACGGAAGGCAGCAGUGGGGAAUAUUGCACAAUGGGCGCAAGCCUGAUGCAGCCAUGCCGCGUGUAUGAAGAAGGCCUUCGGGUUGUAAAGUACUUUCAGUCGUGAGGAAGGUGUUAAGGUUAAUAACCUUAGCAAUUGACGUUAGCGACAGAAGAAGCACCGGCUAACUCCGUGCCAGCAGCCGCGGUAAUACGGAGGGUGCGAGCGUUAAUCGGAAUUACUGGGCGUAAAGGGCACGCAGGCGGUUAAUUAAGUUGGAUGUGAAAUCCCCGGGCUUAACCUGGGAAUGGCAUUCAAGACUGGUUAGCUAGAGUCUUGUAGAGGGGGUAGAAUUCCAUGUGUAGCGGUGAAAUGCGUAGAGAUGUGGAGGAAUACCGGGUGGCGAAGGCGGGCCCCUGGGACAAAGGACUGACGCUCAUGUGCGAAAGCGUGGGGAGCAAACAGGGAUUAGAUACC